GAUUGACGUCUCUCACAGUCAAUCCAAAUAUUUCUGCAGCAACAUGAGUUUCCUGAAGCUUGGCAAACUGACCGGUGAAAUAGAGGUGAUUUUGAGCAACAGAUCAGAUCUCCAGAAUCUGCAGUCCUUUGUUUUAUUCUAAUAGAAGAGAGUUGGGGCCAUAGCCCCUUGAUGUUUGGUAGCAUAACCAUUAUUGAAUUCUCCACUACCAAUAUCCUGGCAACAGAUGAUACGUUGGCUACAAGAGCAGGUCAAAGUCUAGGAAUCCUAAAUGUGAAGGCGUUGGUGUUCACGAAGGGUCGAUGACCGCAAGAAUGACUUCUCACACACCUCACAGUCAGUCGAAGGUGGAAAAUAAAAUAAGUUAACAAGCCACUAUGAGGUUGUGUCAUGCUGGUGAAGACUGCUGAUACCCCUACAGUAUGUGUUUAGUUUAAAAAAAACUCAGGAGAAGUGUUGAUUCACUGGAGAUGCAACCACAUCCACCCUUGGUUUCCAAAAUUACGUGAUGAAAACACACUGGGCACAAAGAGCUCAAAGUUAAGGAAAAUGUUGCAUCAGCGUGGCUGAUUGAAAAGUCUAUCCUGGUUUAUCCUGGGAAAUUAGAUACACUGCACUUGCUCAGACGGCACAUCCCAAAUUCAGCUCUCAGUCACAGCAUUGGGCAAAACUAUCAAAUCCAAAUCCACGCUUUUGGGAAAGCUCAAGGCCUUCAUGUAAAGUCAUGAAAGAAGACAAAGACAUUACAACAAAUGGGUCUCCAUGUAUGGCAGCUGAAUUGAAAAGUGCACAGUGUUAAGUGGAUGAGUUUCAGAGUGCUUUGGGACAUAAAGUGGUCGUGAAAGAAUCUAUAUAAUUACAUAACCUUGCUUUUUUUGGUUGUGUAAGGAUUUACAAAUAUAGUGUGGUCAGAUGUUAUGGAGAGAUUUGAAAAGUCAGAUACAUUUAGAUUAUAACACACAGAGAGAACUGACCAUUCACAGUCCACCGGAUAAUAACCAGCUCUCAACACACAAAACUCAACAACAGGAAAUCAGUAAGAAUCCUCAGACACUCUGCACCUCCCACAUAAUUACAUCUCACCUCCUCAGAUUGGGGAAUGAGCGAUCAACAAAUCUCGGCCUGGAAAUCAGAAGGGAAAUGCUUCCAAUAAGCGCACUCAAUAUCCAACACACAGCUCCAGCGUCUAAUAGUUCAGCACAAAGCACCGCGUAAACAGCUCUCUCAGCUGGAUCUUCUCACACAGCAUAAGGGACAUUUUCCACCCCUGAUUGCCAACAGGACAGUAAGACUGCCUGAAGAUUGGUGUGGAUAUUAUGGGAUACGAUUUGUAUAAAAGCUGCUCCUUCACUCACCAUCUCCUCACUUGGUCUGCAGUCCCCAUUGGAAGUGAACCAGCUCUGGAAGAGGAAGAGGAAGAAAUGUGCAGAGUGGGUGGGCUCUCUGAUUGACGUCUCUCACAGUCAAUCCAAAUAUUUCUGGAUCAACAUGAGUUUCCUGAAGCUUGGGAAACUGACCGGUGAAAUGGAGGUGACUGAGCAGCAGAUCAGGUGCGGAUAUAAACUUGUCAUUGUCCCAUCUGAAUAAAACCUCACUUAUUGCAGCUGCUGUCUCUGUUCCGCUGGUAAUGGUUUGACAAGAAUUUUUUUGUGUAGGAGUAGCAUGCUUCAUCCUUAGAGAGUUUCAAACGGUCAGGAUCAGUGUGGAAUGUGUAUCCUCGGAUGUGUUUGACAGUCGAUCAGAAGAGGAAAACCCACAGCAUCCAAGGUAGUGAUGACAUGCAGUGGUGGGAACAGCACAUGCACGGGAAAGAUGGACAGAGGUGGAAGGGACAUCGGGAAGAGGAGCAAUUUAAUCUCCUCUAUAUCUCACUUCCAACCUUUUAAAUCUCCCCUUCUUCUCUGAUCUAACUUGGUUCCUUUCUUCUUCCCAGCCCAUCCUGUUUCCUACCUUUCCUUUGUCCUCAAUCCUCUCCCUGUCCCCUGCUCUCAAUUUCGUCGUGUAUUUGACAGAUAUGAGGGAUAGGGACAAAGUGCACUAUUUUAAACUCUUAUCAUAAAUUAAAAAAAAGAAAUUCUAUAAAAUGUUGUUGAGAUAAUAAUGUCAUCAUGACUACAUUAUUUUAUUGUAUUCAUUCAUGGUAGAUGGAUGGAUCUGACUGGGCCAGCAUUUGUUGCCCAUCUUAUUUGCUCUUGAGAAAGCUGCUUGCUUGAACUGCUGUAGUCCAUGCUGUAGGUAGCGCCACAAUGUUGUU